rnacentral:rRNA from 1 species
AUUGAACGCUGGCGGCAGGCCUAACACAUGCAAGUCGAGCGAGCGGCGGACGGGUGAGUAAUGUAUGGGAAUAGUCCUGAUGGAGGGGGAUAACUACUGGGAACGGUAGCUAAUACCGCCUACUAUAGGAUGAGCCCAUGUAGUAUUAGCUAGUUGGUGGGGUAAAGGCGCACCAAGGCGACGAUCUAUAGCUGGUCUGAGAGGAUGAUCAGCCACACGGGGAUUGAGACACGGCCCAGACUCCUACGGGAGGCAGCAGUGGGGAAUAUUGCACAAUGGGCGCAAGCCUGAUGCAGCCAUGCCGCGUGUAUGAAGAAGGCCUUAGGGUUGUAAAGUUCUUUCAGUGGGGAGGCGUUACCUGCAGAAGAAGCACCGGCUAACUCCGUGCCAGCAGCCGCGGUAAUUC